UACGUAGGGGGCGAGCGUUGUCCGGAAUUACUGGCGUAAGCGCACGUAGGUGGUACGUCAAGUUCGGCGUGAAAUCUCCAGGCUCAACUUGGAGGGGUCGUCGAAGACUGGCGAACUAGGGUCUGGCAGAGGCCGGUAGAAUUCCCGGUGGAGCGGUGAAAUGCGUAGAGAUCGGGAGGAAUACCAGUGGCGAAGGCGGC
rnacentral:rRNA from 1 species